AAAUAAAAAAUUAGCUGGGUGUGGUGGUGCAUGCUUGUAGUCCCAGCUACUCAGGAGGCUGAGGCUGGAGAAUUGCAUGAGACCAGGAAGUCAAGGCUGUGGUGAGCCAUGAUCGUACCACUGCACUCCAGCCUGGGUGACAGAAUGAGACCCUGUCUUCAGAUUUCUUGAUCUUUGUUUCAGUUUCAGGGUACCUGCAGAAUACAGACAUUUUGAGUUAAGAAAACCACACGUCUAUCUUCAAAAUUGAGAUUACCCUCUAUAUUUCAUUUUUCAUAAUUGCACAGAAAUGACAUCACCCAAUUUUCCAAAUUAUAUGACUUGAAUUUCACACUGGAUGUUUCAAAAAUUUGUUGAUUAACUUAUUGGAUAGUGACUCACUCAUUCACGGGAGAUUUACUCUCUUCCCCUUUAACAAAAUGUUUUCUCACAGACUACAGCCUUGUAGCAGCAUGGACAAUAAGCUAUUCCUAAUACCAAUUUGCUGAUAAGGGAAAUGUUAUAUUAUUAUAUGUCUAAGAAUCUGCAGUCAUGAGCAAAAAGGAUAUCUUCUUGCAACUCUGUCUUAUACCUCUUUAGAGGUAUGUUUCAAUGCCCUCUCCUUUCCAUUGCAGAGUAGUGUGGUCUACUAGGCUGGGCCUCCACAAUCCACCCCUCACCCCUCUAAUCACCUCUCCUCCUCUUUGCCUCCUUGCACACUGCAUUCCUGCUAUUCCUUGAGCACCCCAGGCACAGUGGGUGCUGAAGAGUCCCCCACUUCAGCCUACCUUAGAGCCUCCAUACCAGCUGGUCUCUGUGCUGAAAAUACUGGCCCUGGUGGCUGGAUGCCUCACUCCAUAAAGGGUUUGUCCUCCCUACCCUGCUGUACCCACCCUAUUCCCAAUCCCCUUGAGCCUUCCCUACUUUUAUACUUUGCUUUUUUUCCAUAGCACUUAUUAUCUUAUAACAUGUCGUAUACCUUAUUUAUUAUGGUUAUUGCUUAUUUUCUGUUGAUUAGGUUGUAAGCCCUGUGAGAUCAGAGAUCUAUUUUGAUGCACACCAAGUACCUAGGACAGUGUUUGACAUGGGGGAGCCACUCAGUAAAUAUUUUUUGAAUGAAAAAUUAUGUGAUCAAAUU
rnacentral:lncRNA from 1 species